UGGGGAAUAUUGGACAAUGGGCGAAAGCCUGAUCCAGCCAUGCCGCGUGUGUGAAGAAGGUCUUCGGAUUGUAAAGCACUUUAAGUUGGGAGGAAGGGCAGUAAGCGAAUACCUUGCUGUUUUGACGUUACCGACAGAAUAAGCACCGGCUAACUCUGUGCCAGCAGCCGCGGUAAUACAGAGGGUGCAAGCGUUAAUCGGAAUUACUGGGCGUAAAGCGCGCGUAGGUGGUUCGUUAAGUUGAAUGUGAAAGCCCCGGGCUCAACCUGGGAACUGCAUCCAAAACUGGCGAGCUAGAGUAGGGCAGAGGGUGGUGGAAUUUCCUGUGUAGCGGUGAAAUUCGUAGAUAUAGGAAGGAACACCAGUGGCGAAGGCGACCACCUGGGCUCAUACUGACACUGAGGUGCGAAAGCGUGGGGAGCAAACAGG
rnacentral:rRNA from 1 species